rnacentral:rRNA from 1 species
GACGAACGCUGGCGGCGUGCUUAACACAUGCAAGUCGAACGGAAAGGCCCUGCUCUUGUGGGGUGCUCGAGUGGCGAACGGGUGAGUAACACGUGAGUAACCUGCCCUUGACUUUGGGAUAACUUCAGGAAACUGGGGCUAAUAUCGGAUAGGAGCUCCUGCUGCAUGGUGGGGGUUGGAAAGUUUCGGCGGUUGGGGAUGGACUCGCGGCUUAUCAGCUUGUUGGUGGGGUAGUGGCUUACCAAGGCUUUGACGGGUAGCCGGCCUGAGAGGGUGACCGGCCACAAUGGGACUGAGGUACGGCCCAGACGCCUACGGGGGGCAGAAGUGGGGAAUAUUGCACAAUGGGCGGAAGCCUGAUGCAGCAACGCCGCGUGCGGGAUGACGGCCUUCGGGGUGUAAACCGCUUUCGCCUGUGACGAAGCGUGAGUGACGGUAAUGGGUAAAGAAGCACCGGCUAACUACGUG